AGAGUUUGAUCCUGGCUCAGGACGAACGCUGGCGGCGCGCCUAACACAUGCAAGUCGAACGAGAGAGAGGGAGCUUGCUUCCUCGAUCGAGUGGCGAACGGGUGAGUAACGCGUGAGGAACCUGCCUCAAAGAGGGGGACAACAGUUGGAAACGACUGCUAAUACCGCAUAAGCCCACGGCUCGGCAUCGAGCAGAGGGAAAAGGAGCAAUCCGCUUUGAGAUGGCCUCGCGUCCGAUUAGCUAGUUGGUGAGGUAACGGCCCACCAAGGCGACGAUCGGUAGCCGGACUGAGAGGUUGAACGGCCACAUUGGGACUGAGACACGGCCCAGACUCCUACGGGAGGCAGCAGUGGGGAAUAUUGCACAAUGGGGGAAACCCUGAUGCAGCGACGCCGCGUGGAGGAAGAAGGUCUUCGGAUUGUAAACUCCUGUUGUUGAGGAAGAUAAUGACGGUACUCAACAAGGAAGUGACGGCUAACUACGUGCCAGCAGCCGCGGUAAAACGUAGGUCACAAGCGUUGUCCGGAAUUACUGGGUGUAAAGGGAGCGCAGGCGGGAAGACAAGUUGGAAGUGAAAUCCAUGGGCUCAACCCAUGAACUGCUUUCAAAACUGUUUUUCUUGAGUAGUGCAGAGGUAGGCGGAAUUCCCGGUGUAGCGGUGGAAUGCGUAGAUAUCGGGAGGAACACCAGUGGCGAAGGCGGCCUACUGGGCACCAACUGACGCUGAGGCUCGAAAGUGUGGGUAGCAAACAGGAUUAGAUACCCUGGUAGUCCACACCGUAAACGAUGAUUACUAGGUGUUGGAGGAUUGACCCCUUCAGUGCCGCAGUUAACACAAUAAGUAAUCCACCUGGGGAGUACGACCGCAAGGUUGAAACUCAAAGGAAUUGACGGGGGCCCGCAC
rnacentral:rRNA from 1 species